rnacentral:rRNA from 1 species
CGGUCCAGACUCCUACGGGAGGCAGCAGUAGGGAAUCUUCCGCAAUGGGCGAAAGCCUGACGGAGCAACGCCGCGUGAGUGAUGAAGGUCUUCGGAUCGUAAAACUCUGUUGUUAGGGAAGAACAAAUUUGUUAGUAACUGAACAAGUCUUGACGGUACCUAACCAGAAAGCCACGGCUAACUACGUGCCAGCAGCCGCGGUAA